UGGGGAAAGAACUGGAGUGAGAGCUACAUAGGAAACUCAGUGCAGGCAAGAAAAAGGCCUGGGGGAGACCCUUAGUAACAAGGGAAGUGACUGGGAGACCUGGUGGGAUCUGAGAAGAGUGUUUGGAAGCAGCCCAGGGAAAACCGCAAGCAGAGAUAAAAGAGCAGACCUAGCCCAGAACCAAGAGUCAGGAGUGGGGCUGGGUUCCCCUACUGGCCUAAAGGAAGAGGGGGAGCAAGCCCAUAGAAAGGAUUAUUGAGCCCCCCAAAGGGGCUGUAGGCUGAGCUGUGGAAGAGCCCCAGAGAAGGUGGAAGGACUUUCCUCUGGUAAAGACGCUUUGGGACUUCUAGUUUGGGACAACUGGGACCCUCAAGAUGACGGCCUAGAUGGAGGGCUGGUUUGCCAGGCAGAGAAAUCGCCAUAGCAACCAUCAGCUCAGGGUGCUAGCCCAGCGAGAGAGCUGCGACGCCGUGCCGGCCACGAGGGGGCACCCUGUGUUUUCCAGCAAUGCCUACUGGCAAUGGAAAAAUGAAUUAGCUUGAGCUAAUUUGUUUUUCCUUCAUAUACAAGUGCAUUAACUCUUGGGAAACGACAUGCCAAAGCGGGGCUCCGAGGCUGCAGUGCAGAUGUGUGCAGCUAAAUCAAGCUUUAAAAAGACUUGGAGAGCUUGGUCAUAUCUUGCACUGAUGGGUGCAACCUUCGGGGUAGGUGGAGAGUAGAUUGGCCAGAGCACUGACAAUGUGUGAGCAGUCAUGAGAAGAUCCAUUCAGAACCGUGGUCCUGGGCUGUGGAGGUCAGAUCUGGACUUUCCCAAAACUGGGGAGUGGUUCACAGCCGGAGACUCUGCUCAUGCCCAUCUCUGCUGUAUUUGUGGAUGCCACAAUCCUCCAACCAUAGCAUCAUUGUUUCCUUAGUACCCAAUGCACUUUGAAUGACGACGCAAGACGACUUUUUUUUUUUUUUUU